UACAGAGGUGGCAAGCGUUGUUCGGAAUUACUGGGCGUAAAGGGCGCGUAGGUGGCCUUCUUAGUCAGACGUGAAAUCCCCGGGCUUAACUCGGGAACUGCGUCUGAUACUGGAAGGCUGGAGUUCGGGAGAGGAAUGUGGAAUUCCAGGUGUAGCGGUGAAAUGCGUAGAUAUCUGGAGGAACACCGGUGGCGAAGGCGGCAUUCUGGACCGAAACUGACGCUGAGGCGCGAAAGCCAGGGGAGCGAACGGG
rnacentral:rRNA from 1 species